rnacentral:rRNA from 1 species
GACGAACGCUGGCGGCGUGCUUAACACAUGCAAGUCGAACGAUGAAGCGGUGCUUGCACCGUGGAUUAGUGGCGAACGGGUGAGUAAUACGUGAGUGACCUACCUUUGACUCUGGGAUAAGCCUGGGAAACUGGGUCUAAUACCGGAUACGACCAAUCUCUGCAUGGGGUGUUGGUGGAAAGCGUUAUGGAGUGGUUUUAGAUGGGCUCACGGCCUAUCAGCUUGUUGGUGAGGUAAUGGCUUACCAAGGCGACGACGGGUAGCCGGCCUGAGAGGGUGACCGGCCACACUUGGACUGAGACACGGCCCAGACUCCUACGGGAGGCAGCAGUGGGGAAUAUUGCACAAUGGGCGCAAGCCUGAUGCAGCGACGCCGCGUGAGGGAUGACGGCCUUCGGGUUGUAAACCUCUGUUAGCAUCGAAGAAGCGAAAGUGACGGUAGGUGCAGAGAAAGCGCCGGCUAACUACGUG